rnacentral:lncRNA from 1 species
GCUGAGGGGAUAUGACCAAAGACUAUAUCCAGUGCAGUCCAAAUUACACAAGGCAAAAUACAAAGACAAUGCCAAGAUGGGUAGAAAAGUUAGGAUAUAGGUUAGGAUGGAAGAUGUGACCUGUGAGAUUCAAUGUUGGCAGAGAAAUCAUCUGUGUCAAAUUCCACAAACCAGAAUUCACAAAGUUGCUGAGCCCACACAUGUAGGAUGAAAGAGAGUAAUGAAAACUAAUGACAGGAAACCAGCACCCUGACAAACAGAGUGGACCCCUGUGAAUUCCUUUUGUAGCAGACUCCAUUGGGUAACAACACUGGAGUGCAUUUUCUGCUUCCUCCAGUUUAAGUAAAUCCUACUUUUGUGCAGGUAACAAUGUGCCUGAUGCUGCAAAUGAAUCAUAACUGCUGUAGCCAAUCGCUGAGAUUCCAGUUCACCUUGCCAGUGAUUGAUGUAGAGAUUGGCCAAUGACAUCUAAGAAAACGACUGCAGUGACGAAUUCUGGGAAUUAUUUUCCUGCAGUAAAAUGCAAGACGUGUGAAGGAGAAACUCCUCUUCUCCUUCCUUCUGAUGAGAGUGCUGCCCUGUGAGAACGUGAUAUGGGGUAGAUGGCAGACAUCUUGGAAGAAGGAAAGAAAGGCCAACGGAAGCACAGGGAUUGCAAACCACUGCCCUGAUACCAAAAAGCCUCUGAAUCAACCCUGGAACUGGGAGGUGGAGAGUUAUUUAUUUUUGUAAAUAACUCUUAGCUUUUCCAUAACUCUUAGCUUGUCUAUAACUCACAGAUAAUAGCAUCUUAACUGAUAAUACUGAUAUGAUCUCAAGAGUAUGUUCUAUAAACAAAAGUGUUGCGUAGUCAGCUGAGUUAGAAAAACGUUGUAUAUUAUAUCCAACUCUUUGUAUUUCAUUUUUGCAAAUUAAAGGCUAUGAGAAGACCUGCAGUUAAAAAAUAAAAACUGUUUAGCUUUUUUUAACAUGGUAUUUCCUAAAAUUAAUCAUAUGAUCAUUUUAAAGACUCCUUAAUAUCUUCAAGAUAUUAAGCACUUCACAGUGUCUGUUUUGGAAAAAUUAAUUUAGGCUUCGUGAGAAAAAGAAAGGAGAUCCUAACACCAAGUAUUGGAUACGCCAAUUCCUACACAGCCUCGAUGGGGCACAAAACAGAAAGCGCAGCUUUAUCUUUCUAAAUCAUCUGCUAUUUCCAGGAGGCCAAGGAAAAGGAAUAAAUUUGACAACUAUCCACUUAUAUCCCUGAAUUCUGACAACAGAAUGCACUAAUGAAGGACCCUCGACAUGAUAACACGGCCACAGUCCAGUCAUCCUGGAUAGCAAAUCUGGAAAUGCAUUUUGACUGCUGCACUUAGGACACAUUUUUAUUGUGGCUUGCAGACAGUUACCCUUCAACGAUGUGGUAACUAAACAGAUUUCUAAUUUUCUUCCACUCUCUUUCUAAGAAAGCAAAAUGAGAUUGAGGAAAAUGCAUUUCAUUGAGAUGGACAGGAUGAACCAGUAAUUCAGACUACAGGAAAAAAGCAGUAAGACAGUUCAGAAAAGCUUAAAAAUCUUGAAGUCUGUUCCAUGAAGGAAAGGGUCACAACGAAUGUCGGCACAGUACUUCACAAACCUGAUGCCAACAGCAACUGUGAAAUGGAAGCAACUCUACAAAUUAUUGCCAUCAUGAGACUAUCAUUAGGUCUACAUAGCUCAAGCUUCACUUGGAGUUCAAUUGUGUGAUUCAGAAGCACAGCUAGGAUAAGUCAGAGACUGGAAAGGGGAAGAGGAGAGACGUGCAGGAUAUUUUUUUUUAACCAGUGAAACAACUCCCGACUUCCAGGACCAGACAAUAUACUUAAUGCACAAAACCAAUAUAUUUUAUGGCCUAAAUGAAAAAAAGUAAAGUGGAAGGUCGGGCGCUGUUCCUUUAAGAUGCUUCCAGAAUCAAAUACCACUCUUGAAAGGGCUGCCAAACAAUGUAUCCAGGUAAAGAAUGAAAAAAAUAUAUUCAGAGGAAAGGCAGGAGGAUGUGUGGAAAGCUCAGUGAGAUUAUGGAAGUGCAGUAAUUGAAUAUGACACAAGAGUCAAGUGCAAGAGGGAACUGGCUGGAGUGCAGUGGCGCAAUCUCAGCUCACUGAAACCUCCACCUCCCAGGUUCAAGUGAUUCUCCUGCCUCAGCCUCCCGAGUACCUGGGAUUCCAGGUGAGCGCCACCACACCCGGCUAAUUUUUGCAUUUGUAGCAGAGAUGGAGUUUUGCCAUGUUGGCCAGGCUGGUCUUGAACUCCUGACCUCAAAUGAUCCGCCCGCCUGGGCCUCCCAAACUGCUGGCAUUACAGGCGCAAGCCACUGCACCUGGCCUUAAUCACUUUUUGCUGAAAUAAAUUGCACACU